GGACGAGUGGGACAUGCGGCUGCGGGCGCUGCGCGGCCUCCUGGCGGGGCUGCUGCUGCUGCUGCUGCUCGCCAGCUGCGGGGAGGCUGCGGCCCCGCGGCCCCGAGACGCCUCCACCGCCUCCCCGAGCCCCACGGAGGCGGCCGGCGGGGCCGCCACGCGGAGCAGCAGCAGCAGCAGCCGCCUGGCCGAGGUGUCGGCGCCGCCCGAGCAGGGCCAGCCCAUGACCCAGCGCGCCUUGUCCGUUCUGGUGCUGGCGAGCGCCACUCUCAUCGUCUACUUCGUGAUCCGGACCGUGCGGCUCAGAAGGCGAAACAGAAAAACCCGAAGAUAUGGAGUUUUGGACACAAACAUAGAAAACAUGGAGCUGACCCCAUUAGAGCAAGAUGAUGAUGAUGAUGAUACAACACUGUUUGAUGCCAAUCAUCCUCGAAGUUGGAGAAGGGAUGUCAAGAUCACUUGAAUUUUAAAUGGGCGAGAAUUUAGUGGGCAAGAAGAUAAGCACCAUUUGUCUUCAGCAUGUGAAUUCCAGAGAAAUGGAGAGGAAGAGAAGUACGUGCCUUUCAGUGAAAGAACUUAAUCUUAGAACCAGAGAAGGAGACUGCUUCAUGGGAGAAAUAAGAAGCAAGAGGGUAUGCAAGUGGGGGGGGGCUAAUUUAAUUUGUGUAUAUUAUGGCAUCCUUAAUUUCUUGCAAUAAGUAAUGUACCAAUUUGUUGUACCUUUUUGUAUAUAGAGGAUUCUAAAUGUAUAGCCUAUGCGGAGAGAGUGCUAACUGCACUAAAAUAAAAACCUAUUUGGAAGGGAGGUUACUUGUAAAACAGGGGUUUUUUUGCUUGUUACAAAUCUUGUAUGCCAUUAAGUGUGGUAUACACUUUUUUCCUACAGUAAUCUGGAAUGUUAAUUUUAUUUUUUUUCUGAUACUAAAUUGUAAGUAAAUAUAACCACUGUGGACUCCUCAGAAUUGUUAGAACUUAAUUUUAAUUGGGGAGAUGCUUUACUGUUUACAAAUAAAAAAACAAACUACUGCC